UACAGGGGGGCAAGCGUUGUUCGGAAUUACUGGGCGUAAAGGGCUCGUAGGUGGCCAACUAAGUCAGACGUGAAAUCCUCAGCUUAACUGGGAACUGCGUCUGAUACUGGAUGCUUGAGUUUGGAGAGGGAUGCGGAAUUCCAGGUGUAGCGGUGAAAUGCGUAGAUAUCUGGAAGAACACCAAAGGCGAAGGCAGCAUCCUGGGAAGUUCCUGACGCUCGGGUGCGAAAGCCAGGGAGCGAACGG
rnacentral:rRNA from 1 species